ensembl:snoRNA Small nucleolar RNA SNORA19
UUGCACAGUUCAUUGUCCUGGUCCUCCUCUGUUUGGACCUGUGAUAUUUCUACUGUGCUAAAGGAACAUGGAGGUAAAUUAGCAGAGCAGCUCAUGUGCUUCCUCUGCCAGUCCCCUUCUGACACUA